rnacentral:rRNA from 1 species
AUUCCUACGGGACGCAGCAGUGGGGGAUAUUGCACAAUGGGGGAAACCCUGAUGCAGCGACGCCGCGUGGGUGAAGAAGCGCCUCGGCGCGUAAAGCCCUGUCAGCAGGGAAGAAAAUGACGGUACCUGAAGAAGAAGCCCCGGCUAACUACGUGCCAGCAGCCGCGGUAAUACGUAGGUGGCAAGCGUUGUCCGGAUUUACUGGGUGUAAAGGGCGUGCAGCCGGGCUGACAAGUCAGAUGUGAAAUCCCGCGGCUCAACCGCGGAACUGCAUUUGAAACUGUCAGUCUUGA